CGCGUAGGCGGUCAGGUAAGUCAGAUGUGAAAUCCCCGGGCUCAACCCGGGAACUGCAUCUGAUACUGCUUGACUAGAGUUUGGUAGAGGCAAGUGGAAUUCCGGGUGUAGCGGUGAAAUGCGUAGAUAUCCGGAGGAACACCAGUGGCGAAGGGGACUUGCUGGACUAAAACUGACGCUGAGGUGCGAAAGCGUGGGGAGCAAACA
rnacentral:rRNA from 1 species